AGGGCAAGUCUGGUGCCAGCAGCCGCGGUAAUUCCAGCUCCAAUAGCGUAUAUUAAAGUUGUUGCAGUUAAAAAGCUCGUAGUUGAAUUUCGGGGUUCUACCGUUGGUCGGGCUAUUGUCUGUACUGGCGUGUAGAAUUUCUACCUUCUGGAGAACUAUCAUGUUAUUAAUUUAGCGUGGUAGGAAACCAGGACCUUUACCUUGAAAAAAUUAGAGUGUUCAAAGCAGGCUUAUGUCUGAAUACAUUAGCAUGGAAUAAUAAAAUAGGACGGUGGUCCUGUUUUGUUGGUUUCUGAAUCACCGUAAUGAUUAAUAGGGAUAGUUGGGGGCAUUAGUAUUCAAUUGUCAGAGGUGAAAUUCUUGGAUUUAUUGAAGACUAACUACUGCGAAAGCAUUUGCCAAGGAUGUUUUCAUUAAUCAAGAACAAAAGUUAGGGGAUCGAAGACGAUCAGAUACCGUCGUAGUCUUAACCAUAAACUAUGCCGACUAGGGAUCGGACGAUGUUAACUUUUCUUGACUCGUUCGGCGCCUUACGGGAA
rnacentral:rRNA from 1 species